CGGUGAACGACGUCACUUGUUGUUUGCGGAAGUAGCCAGAGUAGACAAAGUAGUGUUGCAGCAGACUGGUUGAAAGACACAAUAAGGCUGGAUGCAGCCUGCAUGUUGGAGUGCCUUUGGUGCUGCCGCUUGUGUUUCCACUCAGAGGUCCCAGCGCGUCGUAAGACCAGCCAGUGGUGACACGACACGAGGAGGAGUGUGUGACGUGGAAUAAGCGCAGAGGCAGAGGGGAACUCAGCCUCCCCUGUCCUGGUGCGUGUGACCGGAGGACUUCCCUGAUCAUCCAGGGAGUGGACAUCAAGGGCCAUGUCUGGCAGGGAGGAGGACGUCCCCUCGAUCUUGGAUCUGUGGCCUCACCGAGCUGCUUUUUACUGUGCUAGCUGUCCCCUAGACUUUUAGUAUUUUUUUUCUUGUAGUUUUUAUCCUGUUUCAGCAUUUUGUUGUAUUUUAUCCUUCCUAUGACUUUUUGCAACUACUUUAUAUCUUUUAAUAGUUUUCUUAAUCACAUCUCAGUGACCAGUCAGGUUUUUUAUUAUUAAUAAAUUGUUGUUGUUGCCAAAAAAA